rnacentral:misc_RNA from 1 species
UUGUUUCUUUGCACUAAAGGAAACAUUAAUGUAUAGAUUAGUAAGCAAAAAAAAUAUCAUGCUUGUGCUAGAUGUUUUUGUGUCUGUCUAAAUCUCUGUUAUGCGUUGUAAGUUCUUUUAAGUGAUUGUAGAUUAAGUUUCGAGUGUGAAUGUGAGAAAAUUGAAAGUGUGUCUGCGAGUCAAAGGGUGAAAGAUUGUAUUUAAUGUAUUUAUGAAUAAUAAAAAUUAUGUACCACUUACAUUUCAUACUCCAGUAUGGUAUGUACAAUGAUAUAUAUAUAUAUUAUAUCUAUGUUCUACAACAAGAUCAUUUGUACUGACAAGGAUUCUCACCUCUAAAGGUAGAUUAAAAAGGGGACCAUUUAUUCUUAAACUUUACCAAACCACUUUCAAAUAUAAGUUUCCGUUUUUUCUUUCUUACUACCCACUUACAUGUAACAUUGUCUGCAUUUUAAGAAAAGAGCCGUAGUUUGCAAUUAAACAAGUAUUGAUUUAUUUUACUACAUUUUAUGUGAAUUAUGCACGAUUUCUGCUUUAAAAUAUAAAAAAGUUAUGUCUAAACAUGUAUAUUGCCAUGUUUUGGAAGUACACAGGGUCUAUUUGAAACCAAGUCUAGACAAAAAGAAUGACUUGAUCUGUACAAUGUUCAACAUAGAUCAGUUUUAGCAGUCAAUGUCUGCUCAUCUUGUUAGCAAUUCCUUGUCCUGUUUUCCCCCAUACAAUUCAAAAUAAAAUUUUUAAUACACUAGUUUCCUCUCUCUCUUGUUUUUCCAUCAUUUGUAAAGGAAUGCUCUCAGACUUGAAAUGUUUACAGAUUCAUACAUCUACAUAUAAGUGUACUGUUAAUUAUCUAUUGCCAGUGGUUAACCAGGGUCUAGGUCACUAUUACAGCUUAUCUCUGGUCACAGAUAGAGGGACUCAGGGACUGCAUUUGACAUACUUUUCUCGUUUGACUGACGCUGAAUUAAUGCAAUAAUAAGACAAUUUCACAUGUGUUUGCACUUUAAG